rnacentral:rRNA from 1 species
CAGUAGCCGCGGUAAUACGUAGGGUGCGAGCGUUAAUCGGAAUUACUGGGCGUAAAGCGUGCGCAGGCGGUUUGUUAAGACAGAUGUGAAAUCCCCGGGCUUAACCUGGGAACUGCAUUUGUGACUGGCAAGCUAGAGUAUGGCAGAGGGGGGUGGAAUUCCGCGUGUAGCAGUGAAAUGCGUAGAUAUGCGGAGGAACACCGACGGCGAAGGCAGCCCCCUGGGCCAAUACUGACGCUCAUGCACGAAAGCGUGGGGAGCAAACAGGAUUAGAUACCCGCGUAGUCCCUGUCUCUUAUAC